AACGAGGCCGACCUGCGGCUGAGUUACCUGCGGAAGGAUCAUUACUGAGUGUAAAAACUCCCAAACCCAUUGUGAACAUACCACUGUUGCUUCGGCGGAUACGCCCCGGGCGCGCUCUUCACAGGGCGUGCCCCGGAACCAGGCGCCCGCCGGGGGACCGAAACUCUUGUUUUCUUAGGAUCUCUGAGUGUGAUUAUUAAAUAAAUCAAAACUUUUAGCAACGGAUCUCAGAUCGGAAGA
rnacentral:misc_RNA from 1 species